rnacentral:rRNA from 1 species
AUUGAACGCUGGCGGCAUGCCUUACACAUGCAAGUCGAACGGUAACAGGUCUUCGGAUGCUGACGAGUGGCGAACGGGUGAGUAAUGCAUCGGAACGUGCCCAGUAGCGGGGGAUAGCCCGGCGAAAGCCGGAUUAAUACCGCAUACGACCUGAGAGUGAAAGGGGGGGAUUGCAAGACCUCUCGCUAUUGGAUCGGCGGAUGUCAGAUUAGCUAGUUGGUGGGGUAAAGGCCUACCAAGGCAACGAUCUGUAGUUGGUCUGCGAGGACGACCAGCCACGCUGAGACUGAGAAACGGCCCAGAAUCCUACGGUAGGCAGCAGUGGGGAAUUUUGGGCAAGUGGCGCAAGCCUGAUCCAGCAAUGCCGCGUGCAGGAAGAAGGCCUUCGGGUUGUAAACUGCUUUUGUCAGGGAAGAAAUCUUCUGGGUUAAUACCUCGGGAGGAUGACGGUACCUGAAGAAUAAGCACCGGCUAACUACGUGCCAGCCGCCGCAGUAAGAC